rnacentral:lncRNA from 1 species
CACUAUGUUCCGCAGAAACUUGGCUGGCUUCUGACGCUUCGGAUUCUGGAACAGCAGCAUCGUCAGCAGCCGCUCCUGCAUACACUCAUUUGUUGGAUGGAUCUGGCCCUUUCCCACAGACCCCAAACAUCUACAUUCAUCUCCACCCCCUUACCCAGGUCCAUCCAAUGCUCAUCUCAACCCACAGACUGAGCCCCCAAGCACCUCAGCAGCCUCCACAGCCUU